CCCCACUCCAUCCACCCUCUACUCCCCAGGCAGGGUAGGGCUCCGCAAAGUCCAUCACAUCAUCCUGGGCUGGGCCUGGGCCCUUCCCCAUGUGUCCAGGGCCAGAGUGCAUCCCUUCACCGUGGGAUGGGCUCUCAAAGUCCCUUCUUACACCAGGGAAAAAUACUAAGCCACUACCAGGGGCCCCCUAGAGUGCAGAGGCCUCCUCAUAGACAUCCAUGUUCAGGGGUCUGGAUCAGUCCUGUACUGGCCUCCCAGACAGCAUCCUCCACUGCUGGUAGGAUUUCAUUUUCACUUUUUUGUUUGGAGGGGUAAUUGUUAAGGUGCUGGGGGAAUCUCGUGGAACUAAAAGAGAAGCUGAGUCCCUAGCCUGGAGCAAGGUCCAGAGGCAGGACAGCUUGGAAACUCCAGGGCAAGGGCUCAUAGGUCAGGGGUUCUCAACCUGGGGGUUCAACAACCCUUUCCAAUGGGUCACAUAUCAGAUAUUCUGCUAUCAGAUAUUUGCAUUAUGAUUCACAGCAGUAGCAAAAUUAUAGUUAUGAAGUAGCAAUGAAAUAAUUUUAUGAUUUGGGGUCACCACAACAUGAGAAACUGUGGUAAAGGGUCACAGCAUUAGGACAGUUGAGAGACACUGAGUUUCUUCCUGUGGGAUGUCCCCAGCAACCACUCAGUGUUUCUAGUCACUGAUUUCCCAUUCUUUCUGAGAGAAUCUGAUUGGCCAGCUGAAUCAGGUGGAUGAGCUUGACCUAAAAGGUGUGGCUUAAUCUUCCAGCCCCACCCCUUCAAAGCAGUUAUGAGUCCUUUAACAGAAUUCUGUUUCUUGGAAUGAUCGCUUCACAAUUUUAUUGGUUUCUAAAUUGUUUAGCUGAUUUGUUUUGUUUGCCCUCACAAAAACAUUUUGGGAAGAAUGCUGAAUUCUGUUAGAGUCAGUUUACCACUGUUGAGCUAAAGACAGAAGAGUAAAGAGAUGGGGAAAUCUAGUGUCUGUGUCUGUCCUUGUGUUAUGGAACUCCCUGGCCUCUGUCCUUGUGUAAUGGAACUCUCUAGUCUUUGGCCUUCACAAAGUUAUUGAGGUAAUAUAAAGAAACCUCUUGGUGGCGGGCGACCGUGAGGUUAAAUUUCUCUUGUGUUAGAAAAAUGCUAAGAAUUGAAUCAGCAACCUAGGACAUUUGCUGCAAAUGUGAAGCAUUUAUCCUAAUGCACGUUUCCUGUCCUGCAUUGGUGGAAGGUGGAUUUGUGCCUCUUUUGAGGCUGGCAUCCUCUGUGAGCAUCUCACCCCAAGGAAGACUGAGUAAGGUGGCUACAGCAAAGCUUCCACAAAGGUAAAAACUGUUAAUGUUAGUAUUCUCAUCCUAGCCUGGUAAAACAAAGGUUAUAUAUAUUUAAAGACAGGAAUAAUGGAGCCUCGAGAGAUGGUUCAAUGGUUAAAGAACACUUGCUGUUCUUGCAGAGGACCCAGUUUCAGUUCCCAGCACCUACAUGGUGGCUCACAACCAUGUAAUUCCAGUUUCAGGGGAUCCAAGGCUCUCUUCUGACCUCCUCAGGCCCACAGACACACAUAUGCAUGCAAAUAAAACUCCUAUACACAUUAAAUAAAUAAAUUGAAGAUCUAAAAAAAUGGGAAAAUACUGAGCCAGGAAAUGAAUAAGAUGUAUAGAAAAUUCAAGAGUGAUAUGAGGCUUUUAAUGGAUCAAGAUAUACAGGCUAGAGAUGGGCUUUUUGUCUGUCUGGAAACUGGCCAUUAUGGAAAACUGGCAGAUUGAUGUGAGGUAAGAAACUGAGCUCAGUGAAGCAGGUUAAGGAUGAGAAAAGUGCCUUUCUCGGCAUCAAGAAUAUGUUUUAGAAGGUGUGGAUAUGGCCCAGUGGUUAAAAUAUGCAGAUAGGUGUUUGGAUCCCCCAAACCCACAUAAAUGCCCGGUGGGAGUGGUGGCCCACCUAUAACUCCAGCCUCAGUAGGUGGAGAUAGGGGAUCCCAAGAGCAAUCUGGCUAGCAAGACUAGCGUAUCAGAAUCUCUGGGUUGGAUUGAGAGAUUUUUGCCUCAGUGAAGAAGGUGGGAGAGUGAUGAGGAUGAUUUCUCAUCCUUGGAC
ensembl:lncRNA